CUUACCCCAGCAGGCCUUGACGUUGCUCUUGUCGGCGGCAGACAGCACCAUGGUUGGUUCUCUCUGAGUCUGUGUCGGGACCAGAAGUCUGAACUCCAGUCACAGAAUGG